CAGUAGUCGAGGAGAGCCGCUCGGAGGGGACCAUCGCCGUCGGCCUCUAUGUCAAGUACCUGAAGGCAGGCGCCAACAUCCUGGUGUUGAUAGGAGUUGUAUUACUCCAGUUCCUAGCUCAGGCAGCAUACAUUCUACAGGACUGGUGGCUGGCAUAUUGGGCAGGAGAGCAGGAGAAGCUCAAUGUUAACGGCACUGUGACCGUCCAAAAUGGUGUCAACGUCACUGAAGAGCUGAGCCUGGAUUUCUACCU